GCUGAGGGGAAUAAUUACAGCCAUUACGGAUGCACGAAGGUUUUUCUGGUCAAAGUUGUUCAAAGUCAAACACGGUCUACUCCCGAUAAAGUCAGAACAAGGCAUUCAGUAUCACGUAGAGCAUUUUACACGUGUUGCUUAAAGACAUUGUAAGGUCAAAACACUUCGCUCUGAAAGUUCAAUGAUUUGAAGAGUGGAAGAUAAGUUUUAACCAGCUUUGUAUCUGAUGACUUUGCCUCACCAGCAAGCGUUUUUCCUUUAAUAUCUUGACAAUUCGUUUUCUUCUUCUCCGCACAUUUUACUACCUACUGUCUUUAUUUAAAACUAACGCAGCAACGCAUUUCUAACUAUUUUGUUUGCAAUGUGCACAGUUCGGUUUGUAAGUUUUAACCAAAGACGUGAUCUGGUUCGAUGCAGUUGAGAUCUGGUUUAAAUUGGUGUAACGCGGUGCAAAAUCGAAAGCUCGUCUUUACAGAUAAGUUAUCUCCAUUGCCAUGGAAACGGAUAGUAUUCAGAAAGAAAUACUUAAGUUUCAAUAAUCAUACAUUUCCGGAGAGGAAACACAGAAGUUAGAAUCGACUGCUUUCUGGAUCAUGUUUACUAAAUCAUCACAUUGUGCAUCAAUUUUAUUUUGUAUAGGGUAACCGAAAUAAGCCAUUUAAUUCUGAGCGGGGAAAUUUAAAAACACUGAAGAGUGGGUUUAAUUUUAUUUAAAGGGUCAUUCCAAAUCAUUGAGUAUUACUAAAGAUCUAAAUCAUUCUUAGUCAAAGCCACGAAGUGCAAAUUGGUGAUUUUCGUAGUGUUGGCAUCGACCAUAUACUCCCCUAGAAACGAAUCUGUGACUGAAACAUCACACAAAUUCGGUUCUACAGGGUAUAUAUAGACGACGGGUUACAAACAAAUUCGGUGACCAAUUACACAAUGGUAAAAUAGUUUAAAAUACUGCAAUGGAUUGCGAUCCCCAAGGAGUUAAUGACGUGUAAUAUUAAUAAAUAAGAAAUUAAAAUCAGACUCAGCUCUUGUUAAAUUACGUAUUGGUUUAGCCAUUGAAAAAUUCUACAAGCUAAUCCCUUAAAUUUGGUAAAAGGAGUGAGGAAAUAUUUAUAUUUGCAUUGUUUGUCAGUGGCAGCAACGUGAAACAGCGUGUGGAGCCUGUUUCGACAUACAGUCUACAGGCAUAAGUUAUUAUUUGUUGCUAUGUUUUUUGAAUCCUUCGUAUAUCACAGAGAUUUUAUAGGAAACAGUUUGUAGCGAUGCGCUCCAGCUCACAUAACUAAGUGCCUCAGCGUGAAUCAAUAAUUACUCCAGAUGCUAAUAAUUUGAACUCACCACUAACAAACCGCAGGAUUUGAUAACAAAUAUAGCCCGGUCUAAACAAUCGCUAAAACUAAUCAAAUACAAUUUAAAUAAGAUAGCACAAAUAUUGGUUUAUUCCAGAGCGUAUUCCACCCAUUGCCACUUUAACAAAAUGGGAGCAUCCCAGGAAAAUGAAGGUUGUUUGUUCUAAUUCUUAAUCUUUCUCAUUUCCUGGAAGCUGGUUCAAAAAUGCUGCCGAGAGCAUGCUUCAAGAUCUGGCUACAACUCCAGUCAAUUGGGAAGCCGCAUGCAUGGGUCCCUUCCCUGGCCGGCCCCUCUGAGCCUGUAGUGCCACCACGUUGUGUGUUAAAGGCUGAAGGGCACGAGGUCAGACUGAAAUCAUUGGCAAACACAUCGUAAAGUUGCAUUAUUAUUUUCGCUUUAGCUACAGCCCUAAUGCAUGACCUUUUCAAAGUGCGCGAGUCUUUUCGAAUUAACUGUUCAACUAAACUGAGGGCAAUCCUGUUCUUGCAUUUUCAGUUAAAAAGGCUCCACACGCGAGAGACAGACUGAGAACAAUUGUAAAAACCACGCUAACGAAAAAGGAUAAGUGCGUUCAUCAGUGCAAACGCUGUGUUUAAAUGUUCUGAGAUGCAUUGGUUAACAAUGUAGCACUGAAGCUGAACUUUUUAACUGUGAACUGUACCUUCACGAGUUUAAUCCUUCGUUCUUUCUGUCCACAACAAAGGUUUGGGUUCAGCUGCGAUCUGUGGCAGAACAAUCUAAACUACUCUUUCAUCAAUGCUCCAGUUUUUGUUUAAUAACUCAAUAUGUUACUGUAAUUAUUUUACCUUUUGUAACAAAAAUCCCAAGCACGUCGCUGAUUUAUUUACCUGCGAUUUUUUUUCCAUUUAGCCCAGUGAUUUAGGAAAGAAAACAGCUAAACACUUUCCGACAACCAAUGGCGCCAACGAAAACACCAACAGUGAAUUCUGCUUUUAAAAAAGGCUUUUUGCUCUGAAAAUACCAGAUAUCAUUACAUCAUCCGAUAAUCCGAAAGCCAAAUCUCUUUACUGAUCAAAUUAACGCAUAUUGUGAAGCUGAUUGGUGCUACACAUUUUAAUAUUUGUUAGACGCUGUGACCUGCAUUUCACCUUACUGCUCGACUCGUUCAGACAGGUCAAUGCCAAAGAGUUAUUGAUGAACAAACCCGAUUAAAAUUCACCUCUUUUUUUAACUGCCCACACAAGUGCUGCGACUUUUGAUCUAACAGAUUUUGACCUAGAGAAUGUCAAUGCAAACUAAGUGUUUGGGAAGUGAGGCCUAUAUUUAUUCAUAGAUUCUGUGGUUCAAUGAAAGCUAUUAUUGUCAACAGUCUGCCAAGAGCUUUCCUACGUAUAAGUACACCGAUUUUAAAAACAAAAUUGAAUUUUUCAAAAGUUCAGCUUUCUACUGACCCAGAAAGCCAUUUUCUUGCAGAAGCUGCUUCAGCAUAUGUCAAGACUGUUUUGCUUUUCAGCAGCAAUUGUCCUUCAUUAUUUAUCAACGCCUAAAGAUUCACAUUGUAAAACUAGUGCUGAAACGAUGGAUCCAUGGCGCUGGGCCAUUGCUUUGCGAAUACUGCUUAAACAUUAUGUGGACCCAUUUAAAGUGAGUCGCUGCUCAACGUUUAUCUAGCGGUUAAAGUAUGCUGUUACUUGAAGAGUGUUUGUGGCGAAUAUCGCGUGGUGAGAUGUUGCCUUCUAUAGCAGUUGGACGAUAUCCUGUCAGAGGUUCUGAUUAUCUUAGUGAAAGAGCAAUGGUAGACCCAAGGUGAAAAGAAAGAUUUACUAUUCCUGUUGUAAAGAAGGUAGAAUUUGAACAUUUGUAUUAUUGUUUUCUGGUUGCCUGAUAAUAAUGCAGAUUAAUAUUAUACUGGUCAUUUGAAAUAUGGGGACAGAGUCUGUCUAAUAUAUAAGUAAUAUUUUGUUUUUUUAUUAUACGAAUGCUGAUACACUUUUUCUUAUGUGUAUGAUUUUAAAAUGAUAGUGUCGAAUUAUUCCCGUGAAUCUGUUACUGGGUUUAGAAAGGACAAGAACCGAAGGAUCCAGUCUCUAUUUAAAAAAAACCAGAAGUAUUAUAAACACUAAUUGUUUCAUCAAUAAUGACUCCACCGUCUACCUGGUCAAGUUGUACAAAAUGUCGGCGACAUUUUAUGCAGGCAAACCUAGCGAAGAGAUAAUUGAAGAAAAGAAGUACCAUUUUCCAGUCAAACAAAUGCUUCAGCUAAUAUUAGAGCAGACGCGAGGCUGAACGUUGGGCCUGCGUGGUUGUAUAUGGGGAGCUUUCACAUUUGAUUCUACCUACAACUUUCUAUUAGCUCAUUACGAGUAAACUUUAUACAUCUUCUAUAAUUAUUACCACCUCAUUUGCCAAGUCAUUUUUGCAGAUGUUGAAACCGGAACAAUAACUUUCCUCCGAAUGACCUUUUAAAAAUGCAGUCUUGCACUGGGAGGCGCUGUGCCCGCCUUGCCCGCUUCAUAGUCACGGCAGCUAAAUCUGCUUCUCUUCCAUAAUGUCAGAGGUAAUUAGAGUUCAACAUAGUCAUGUUUUAAUCGUACUCUGUACCUAUAACAAGUCUACCCCUUUCGCAGAAGGAGAAUGUAAUUACACGACCAGUUAAAUAUCGCUAUAAAAAUAGAUCACCAAGAAUGCAAAAGAGUGUCCACAACAAUUGUCACUGGAAUCAUGUCAGUAUCCAGUUUACCAGUCACAAUGCAACUACAUCUUCACCUCACACAAAUUUCACAUUCAAAACAGCCGACCGUUUCUAGCCAUUCGCCAUGUUAAUCAGAAAUAAUUCAUUCAAUAAUACUUACUUCCGAGCUUCCCCCAUUCCGCCAGCUCUGCAAUAAAAAACACAAUGUAUGCUGAGUGAAUCGCGUUUAAUAGCAUUCAAUGCAAAAUAAGAGCACAGGUGGAUUUUCUAAUCCAGAUUAAUAUUAAACUAACGUACAUGUUGUUAACUCCGGAGUACUGUGACAUUUUACUUUCCAAGUUUAAAAAAAAUAAUUGUGAUCUACAAUGUGAUUGGAAUUGCCAGCCCGCGUUGUUAUAAUGCAGGUUUGAAAACAGAAAUUCGAUCGUUUAUGCUUUGAGUAGCUAAUUGAUCUGACCAUUAUAGUUUCUCCUUUAGGGAAGGCAUAAAGUCGUAUCCAUUUCACGUACAACGUUAUUUCAACAAUUCAUUCAGAUUAUCGUGGUCAUUAAUAUAGCCUGGUGUUAUUUUCUACUAAUCUCUCUUCAAUUAACGAGGCGAUUAUUUUUCCCCGAAAAGGAAGUUACAUGUGAACAAAACAUCGAUUUAUACACGGAACAUCAUCCUUUCGCCAUAAUUCGCCCUUAAAAAGUAUUUUCGACGUGUUUCUCGAUGUUUUCUCGAUGUAUUCUAAUCAUUAUUUGGUCAGUGCAAGUGAUGUUGAACAUUUUCAGCAGAGAAAGCUUUCGCUUGUUUUGAUGAUGCAGCUCAUUAACCUUGAAGAAUUCCAAAAUCAUGAUUUCUGUAUUUUGUUAAAAUAUAGCUUCAGAGUUUGCUAUUAAACUAAAGGUGGUUAAAACAGUA